rnacentral:rRNA from 1 species
UGGGGAAUAUUGCACAAUGGGCGCAAGCCUGAUGCAGCCAUGCCGCGUGUAUGAAGAAGGCCUUCGGGUUGUAAAGUACUUUCAGUCGGGAGGAAGGUGGUAAGGUUAAUAACCUUAUCAAUUGACGUUACCGACAGAAGAAGCACCGGCUAACUCCGUGCCAGCAGCCGCGGUAAUACGGAGGGUGCAAGCGUUAAUCGGAAUUACUGGGCGUAAAGCGCACGCAGGCGGGUGAUUGAGUCAGAUGUGAAAUCCCCGGGCUUAACCCGGGAAUUGCAUCUGAUACUGGUCAGCUAGAGUCUUGUAGAGGGGGGUAGAAUUCCAUGUGUAGCGGUGAAAUGCGUAGAGAUGUGGAGGAAUACCGGUGGCGAAGGCGGCCCCCUGGACAAAGACUGACGCUCAGGUGCGAAAGCGUGGGGAGCAAACAGG